rnacentral:rRNA from 1 species
GACGAACGCUGGCGGCGUGCUUAACACAUGCAAGUCGAACGGAAAGGCCCCUUUGGGGGUACUCGAGUGGCGAACGGGUGAGUAACACGUGAGUAACCUGCCCUUGACUUCGGGAUAACUUCAGGAAACUGGGGCUAAUACCGGAUAGGAAUCCUUGCUGCAUGGUGGGGGUUGGAAAGCUUCGGCGGUUUUGGAUGUACUCGCGGCUUAUCAGCUUGUUGGUGGGGUAGUGGCUUACCAAGGCUUUGACGGGUAGCCGGCCUGAGAGGGCGACCGGCCACAUUGGGACUGAGAUACGGCCCAGACUCCUACGGGAGGCAGCAGUGGGGAAUAUUGCACAAUGGGCGGAAGCCUGAUGCAGCAACGCCGCGUGCGGGAUGACGGCCUUCGGGUUGUAAACCGCUUUCAGCAGGGGCGAAGCUUGUGGUGACGGUACCUGCAGAAGAAGCACCGGCUAACUACGUG